UACGAAGGGGGCUAGCGUUGUUCGGAUUUACUGGGCGUAAAGCGCACGUAGGCGGUUUGUUAAGUCAGAGGUGAAAUCCCGGAGCUCAACUCCGGAACUGCCUUUGAUACUGGCAAGCUAGAGUCCGGAAGAGGUAAGUGGAACUCCUAGUGUAGAGGUGGAAUUCGUAGAUAUUAGGAAGAACACCAGUGGCGAAGGCGGCUUACUGGUCCGGAACUGACACUGAGGUGCGAAAGCGUGGGGAGCAAACAGG
rnacentral:rRNA from 1 species